CCAGAUCCGGCCGGGGAAGGAGCCACGGCCUUCUGUGGCCGCCCAUCCCUACAAGUACUGAGGCCGCCUCCCCCGUUUCCUGCAGGAAGCUGCCGCCGCCGCCUCCCUGCACCAAGCCGGCGUUGCCUUCCUGCAACGAGUUUAGUGAGAUGCGGGGAGGAAGGAGUUCAACCUCUUCCAGCGCGCCGCGGCGGUGGGGCUCGACGCCUUCGAGAAAGGGUUCAUGGCAGACGUCCUUCAUCCUAUGGGAGAGCUCCUGCGACUGUGCCGCGAGGAGCAGGGCCCCCGCGCUGGGCGCCGUGGCUGUUCCUGUUCGGGGUCAAUGACGACGUCAGGUGGGGCACCGCCCCUACCCUAGCCGUGCACCGAUGGCGCCGCAUCGGGGCGGGCGGGCUCAAGGGGAGAUUCCUGUUCUCCGUCGCCGGCGUCGUUGAUCUUGGCGUGCACGGCGGCGUCCCGAGGAAGAAGAAGAUAGGAUCGAGAGGAUGGCAUGUGGCCCCACGAGUUAAGAGGGGCAAAAGGACAAUCCACCCUCCAAGCCCUCUAUCCUGGACGGGGGGCACCCAAAAGCUAGCUUCAGCUGAAGCUGCUGCCCAGACAGAGUUUGAGCGAUGCGCCAAACAGACCCUAAAUUAACAACAAAUGUUAGAAGGAGCUUAAUUAACAACCGGGAGGUUUACUGUU